rnacentral:rRNA from 1 species
UACGGGGGGGGCAAGCGUUGUUCGGAAUUACUGGGCGUAAAGGGCUCGUAGGCGGCCAACUAAGUCAGACGUGAAAUCCCUCGGCUUAACUGGGGAGUGUCGUGCGAUACGGUCGGACUGGAGGCCAGUAGGGGGAUGCGGAAUUCCGGGUGUAGUGGUGAAAUGCGUAGAUAUCUGGAGGAACACCGGUGGCGAAGGCGGCAUCCUGGACCGGUAUUGACGCUGAGACGCGAAAGCGUGGGGAGCGAACAGG